rnacentral:lncRNA from 1 species
GAGGCCGAGGCGGGUGGAUCACCUGAGGUCAGGAGUUCAAGACCAGUCUGACCAACAUGGUGAAACCCCAUCUCUACUAAAACUUCAAAACUUAGCCGGGCAUGGUGCCGAGAUUGCGCCACUGCACUCCAGUCUGGGUGACAGAGUGAGACUCCAUCUCAAAAAGAUUUAGGUUGCAAAUGUUUCAAGCAUGUGCAGUUUUGUGUGUGUGUAUACAUAUAUAUGGUCAGCAUAUAUAUUGUUGUGCAGCUAGGGCGAAGCCAGCAGAGGUGUGUGUAUGUCUUUAUGAAAUGUUUGAAAAGAGAUAAGCUGACUGCUUGAUAAUCAUUCUCAGGUGUAAAGCUCCAAGUGUAAAUAAAAGUGGCAUUUAACAAAUCUUUCAGAACAAAGUACAGCUGACUAUAUAUACCAAGAACUAAGCUAAAGGAACAGCUGAGAGCUCCUGAUCUCCACAAGAGAGGAAUCUAAAAGCUCUGCUUUGUGCUUCUUCACCCUGCUUUUGUACAAGGAAGGGGGAUGAUGGGAAAUCAUGGACUUGUAAGUUGUAUUUAAACAUAAAAAUGAACUUGGUAACUUCUGGGUUUAGUAGAGCCUCAGUGUCGCUUUAACUUAGUUUACUUUUUUAAAGCAGCAAUGGAUGGUUUUAAAGGAGUAUUAUGACUGUAAAAUUGCUAAAUACGACUGUAACAGCUAUGUGGUAGCUGUGACACAGUUCAGUUGGGCAAAGGAGUGGUGAUGGACUCGUUAAAAUCAUAUAUACUUGAAUAGUCCAUUGACCGCAACUCUUUAUAGACCAUUGUGUAAAUGUGGAAUCACAGACUGUUAACAUUGCCUGGACUUCAGCAGAGUCCUGGAGCUGCUGGGACCUCUCCUAUCAUGAUGAACUUGGACUUUUUUUGAUUUCUGGUUUUAAAAGACAUGAAAUUAUAGAAUCCAGAUAAUUCGCUGGAGUCAUUUUGAUCCACCAUGUAGAUCUGUAUUUAGUAUCAUUUGGAUUUGGAGAAGUGUUGAUUACAUUAUGGCUGUGUAAUAAAAUUUUUAUUAAAACUG